rnacentral:rRNA from 1 species
UACGGAGGAUGCGAGCGUUAUCCGGAUUUAUUGGGUUUAAAGGGUGCGUAGGCGGACGCUUAAGUCAGCGGUAAAAUUGCGGGGCUCAACCUCGUCGAGCCGUUGAAACUGGGUGCCUUGAGUGGGCGAGAAGUACGCGGAAUGCGUGGUGUAGCGGUGAAAUGCACAGAUAUCACGCAGAACUCCGAUUGCGAAGGCAGCGUACCGGCGCCCAACUGACGCUGAAGCACGAAGGCGUGGGUAUCGAACAGG